GGGGACAGAGUUCAGUGGUAGAGUGCAUGCUUAGCAUGCAUGAGGUCCUGAGUUCAAUCCCCAGUACCUUCA
rnacentral:tRNA from 1 species